rnacentral:rRNA from 1 species
GGCGGUUAUAUAAGACAGAUGUGAAAUCCCCGGGCUCAACCUGGGAACUGCAUUUGUGACUGCAAGGCUAGAGUACGGCAGAGGGGGAUGGAAUUCCGCGUGUAGCAGUGAAAUGCGUAGAUAUGCGGAGGAACACCGAUGGCGAAGGCAAUCCCCUGGGCCUGUACUGACGCUCAUGCACGAAAGCGUGGGGAGCAAACAGGAUUAGAUACCCUGGUAGUCC